UGUAAUGUAGUUUAUGGAAAAACGUGUAUUUGUGGAAUACAAAAAGACAAGAGAGUGAAGGUCCAUUAUAA